rnacentral:rRNA from 1 species
CGGUAAUACGUAGGGUGCAAGCGUUGUCCGGAAUUAUUGGGCGUAAAGAGCUCGUAGGCGGUUUGUCGCGUCUGCUGUGAAAUCUGGAGGCUCAACCUCCAGCCUGCAGUGGGUACGGGCAGACUAGAGUGCGGUAGGGGAGAUUGGAAUUCCUGGUGUAGCGGUGGAAUGCGCAGAUAUCAGGAGGAACACCGAUGGCGAAGGCAGAUCUCUGGGCCGUAACUGACGCUGAGGAGCGAAAGCAUGGGGAGCGAACAGGAUUAGAUACCCUGGUAGUCCAUGCCGUAAACGUUGGGAACUAGUUGUGGGGGCCAUUCCACGGUCUCCGUGACGCAGCUAACGCAUUAAGUUCCCCGCCUGGGGAGUACGGCCGCAAGGCUAAAACUCAAAGGAAUUGACGGGGGCCCGCACAAGCGGCGGAGCAUGCGGAUUAAUUCGAUGCAACGCGAAGAACCUUACCAAGGCUUGACAUAUACCGGAAACUGCCAGAGAUGGUGGCCCCGCAAGGUCGGUAUACAGGUGGUGCAUGGUUGUCGUCAGCUCGUGUCGUGAGAUGUUGGGUUAAGUCCCGCAACGAGCGCAACCCUCGUCCUAUGUUGCCAGCACGUAAUGGUGGGAACUCAUGGGAGACUGCCGUGGUCAACACGGAGGAAGGUGGGGAUGACGUCAAAUCAUCAUGCCCCUUAUGUCUUGGGCUUCACGCAUGCUACAAUGGCCGGUACAAAGGGCUGCGAUACCGUAAGGUGGAGCGAAUCCCAAAAAGCCGGUCUCAGUUCGGAUUGAGGUCUGCAACUCGACCUCAUGAAGUUGGAGUCGCUAGUAAUCGCAGAUCAGCAACGCUGCGGUGAAUACGUUCCCGGGCCUUGUACACACCGCCCGUCAAGUCAUGAAAGUCGGUAACACCCGAAGCCGGUGGCCUA